UUCAAUCUGUACAGUUUGUCUUUCAUAUCCAUAUGAGAUGAAGCAGGCUUGAUUUAGGCUGGGAAUGAUGCCAAAGAGAGAAGAUACAUCAUUAACCCUUAAUAAACGACUUAUGAAGCAUCCCUGGUUUAUUCAUUAAAAGGACUCCAUGAAGGAUUACCAUAACACCUUAUGAGUGUGUCUUUUCAGGAAAAGACCUCUACGGAGCAAGCUCGUGUCUGAACUGAAUCUCAGCCCUAGGGAAGAUGGUUUCUUCAGUUCCCCUUCAAGCCACACAUUUGCCCUUCCCCAGAGCUGGCCAGGCACAGCUGUGAAGCCCACCCUGAGCCCUGAAGAGGGGAGAUGCAGCCUUGAGAGUCCAAGAAAAGCCCUUUCUGCCUGCUUGAUGAUUCCUCUCCAGGACGGCGUGGGCACGAGUUUCAGUGCAGCCUCAGUUAUUCCUGCUGGGGAUCUGCCCUGAGUCAGCACAGCCCGGGGACAUGUCAGCAAAACCCAGAUGGCUGUCUCAGCUCAGAACGUGAAAAUCUUGGGAUUAGCAACUCUUCCUGCAGCAGAAGAUCACCAAGGACUGAAAGCGUGGCCAUUAGGAAGCAGAAGAUCCGACGGCUUCUACCACCACGCUCGUUCCCUUUGACAGAAAACUCAUUUUACAGCGGAGCUGAGAUACUUUGGAAAUGCUUCACAGAAAUCAGGGAUCUGUCUGAAAUUCUACACUGGAGGCAAAUGAAAAUUUUUAAUAGAUCUGGGUCUUAGUUCCGCUAAUUUCAAUGGUUCGUUUCGCUGUUCUGGCAGUCAGGAUCCAUUAGUGGAACAGAAGGAGAAGCAUGUAUAAUGCAUGUACAGCAACCGCAUUCUAAUCUCAAAUUUCUUUUUUCUUUUAAGUUCUUAUUUUUUUAAAUAAAUAUAUAAUGAGUUACUGACAGUACUUAACAAUAUCUUAUACUAGACACUGUAAUACCCCAAAUAAAUACUUAAUUUCUGCUUUCCUGCAACUUCACUGGGAUUACAUCAUGUCAGAUUACUCUAAGUCUGCUUUAACCCAGUUUGAAAACACUAG